UGUGUACAGUGCAUGCCAAGUAGGGGCUUUUAUCUCCAAUUAGAACAGUAGGCACUACUACAACAGAAACAAUAUCCUUUGAAGUGAAUAUUAACUCCAAUAAAAAUAAUGGAUGUUUUCUUCCCAAGUUAGAAAAAAUAAAAACUUUUUUUUUUUCCUUUUUCUUUUUUUCCUGCCCACAAGUGCACACACACAGAUACACACAGAUGUACAAUUACAUUAGUUCAGCUAGGGGUAAUACCUUCAACUUCUAUAGUUACUAUAUUUCAUUAACCUAUGUAAUCAGAUAGGAAAGUAUAACCUUAAUAAUAAACCAUGAAAGUAAAGUAAACAUGUCAGAAAAAAAAAAAAAAAAAAAAAAAAGUGCUUAGGAUUCUAAGAAAUAAAAUAAUAUUUUCAUGUCCCCAAAUAGAUAUACAUAACUUUUUGCUAUGAUCACCACCACCACCACAAUUUUAUCUCUUUCUGCUGAUGUAAAAUGUCUCAUCUCAGAAAUUAAAUGCAAUGCCUAGAAAUUGAAAUGCAAUGCCUAGAACAUGAAAAUGAGACUUCCUAGAAAUCCGCCAAGUUCCCCAUCCUCUUUGUUCACUUCCUUGUGUUCUGGUUUUAUGAGGAACAGGAAGCAAUUGUGAUGAAUUUUAAAAUGCUAUAUUGAGAUGGAAAGGCAUGGAGCCUCAUUGGGAAGAAUUUCCAGAGCACUGUGCUAGAAAGUCUUCACUCCCAACAACUCUGCUUGCAGCUCUGCCCCCAGGUCCCACAUCCCAGAUGACCAGCUACCCAGGGGAUUUCAUUUGAGAACGUGUGAAUCCCCAUACUGAUUAUAAACAAUGGGGUUUUCAGCCAUUACUUCAGAGUCUGCAUACAGGGAAUUCUACUCUGUUAAGAAGGUAAAGUCUGCGGACAGGAGAAGGUCACAUCAGUUGAUUAUACUGGUCCCUACUGGACAUCACCUCCAUGAAAGAAAUCUGUGAAAAGCAGAGCUGAGAUUUAAUUAAUCACGUUUUUAAACUAAAAGCUUCUUAUUCACAUUGAGUUUUGCUUCUUUCUUUUGUUUGUGGAAGUGAUUACCAAUUCCAUAGAGAAGAGUUUACAGUAAAUACGAAUAAGAGCUCAGCAAUAAUAGUUUAAAGCUGAAGUAUCAUUUUACCAUAAAUACUUAGUGCGGAGCCUGUGGUGGAAUUAUGUCAUUUGGAACAAGUAACACCUAUAAUCCACUUACUCCCUUCAUUUUUUUCCUUUUAGUAUUAAUUCAAUUUUUAAUAGUAUUGGAAAAACACAGCUGUUUCUAGUUGGAAAGAUAGUUAUUUUCUCCAUAAUUAAAGGAAUAAUUGAUUCAAUGAGAUGUAAUCUAUAAAUCUGGCUUUUAAAAAUGAAAUUAUAUAGUGAACCAUGUUUGUCCAAGCUUUUUUUUUUUUUUUUUUUUUUUUUUUUUUGGGAAAAUGUGUCAUUAACCCUUUUUCUCUUCCUUUAGAUGAUUUUGUUCCAGACAUGAUUAAAAGGCUACUGUCAAGAUUUAGACACAGGUAUUAAUCUUCAUACAAAUUGCUCAAUUCCAUUGCAGAAGUUUCCCAUGUCGUGUUCUAUGUGAUCUGGAGAAAAAGUUUUACUGAUAGAUGUUUAUACAAUGACUGUCAAAGUACAUGCAUGAACAAAAUUAAAGCCUUAAACAGAGAAUAAACAUGCACAUGUAUGACA
rnacentral:lncRNA from 1 species